GAGGUGUGCGAGGAGGAGCGGAGGGAGUCGGUCAGAAUACCUCGGCUAGGUGAGCUGUGGAGGUGAGGACACAGAUGACAUCAAACGGUCUUAGGGGGCAGCCGUGGUACAGUGGAACCAUGCGUGCUUUGGGGUCCGAGGGGUCUCCAAGCGCACGGGUUUGAAUCCUGCCCACGGUCCGAGUGAAGGUUGGACUUCCUCGCUUGGGGCAACGGUUUCCUAGCGGGUGGGCUUU